rnacentral:rRNA from 1 species
UACGAAGGGGGCUAGCGUUGCUCGGAAUUACUGGGCGUAAAGGGCGCGUAAGCGGAUAUCUAAGUUGGGGGUGAAAUCCCGGGGCUCAACCUCGGAAUUGCCUUCAAAACUGGAUAUCUUGAGUUCGGGAGAGGUGAGUGGAACUCCGAGUGUAGAGGUGAAAUUCGUAGAUAUUCGGAAGAACACCAGUGGCGAAGGCGACUCACUGGCCCGAUACUGACGCUGAGGCGCGAAGCGUGGGGAGCAAACAGG